UCGGAGACGGGCCAGCCGGAGGUGGAGGAGCAGCGAGGCGCACGGAGGUUGGCGGUGGCAACGCCCACUCCUCUCCUCGUCCCCGUCCUCUCCUCUUCCUCCGCCCUCGAGGUCGUCUUCCGGCGGAGCGACGGCAGGGAGCACAAGGGCGGCGGCGGUAGCUGGUCGGUCUCCUCGACCCAGCGGCGGCCCAUCUGGAGGAACUGCGGGAGCUCCGGCGGUGGCGGUUGGACUGAAACAGUGCGGCCACGCCAUGCCUGAUGGAGGGGGCUUGGUGGCGAAGGAUUUGGCCGGUGGAGUGGUCGCAUCCUCUCAUACAUCUGUCUUGAGCUCAGGUGCUAAUGGUGAUGCAACUGCAGAGGUGUUAGUGGAGUCACUAAUAGCUCCCCUGCAAGGUAAUCUUCUUUCACCCCCCUCACCGUCUACUCUGCUGGCUGCGAGUCACAUCCUCCCUGUUAUGGAGGGCGGCCGAUAGCUACACCUGACGGCAGCAUCAGCUGUAUCUUGGAUGGACUCAUUUGAUUUUAUUCGGUUACUGCCUGAUUCGCAUGGAAGCUGAGUAGUAUGUUCUGUGGCAUCCAGAGCUCGUGAAGCCAUCAACUAAGGCUUGUUCACGAACGAGGAUUGAAGCAGUAGGUUAGGGCCCUUUCUUCUCUUCUAAUGAAAUCAAGCGAGGAAAAAAUAGGGUUUGGGUGUAUAGAAUUUUUUUCAGCAAUGUGAUAGAAGGCAGAAUUCAUGCUCAAAGUGUCCAUGGUUACUGCAGCAUUAGGACCAUCCACGACAAGUCGAAUGACACGGCUCUAUAUGAUCUUUGAGGUGGACAGACUGAUUCUACCUUGUCAUGGUAUCAUUAUAA